rnacentral:sRNA from 2 species
GACGGACGUUCGUCGCAGACGGACGGUCGUGCCGAGCAACCCUUGGGGUGAAGCCGCGACAAGCGGCCGGGCAACUUCGCCAGCCCGAAUCCGACAGGUCAUCCUUCACAGGCGGCUGACGAAGGGUUGC